rnacentral:rRNA from 1 species
GACGAGGCACUACGGUGCUGAAGCAACAAAUGCCCUGCUUCCAGGAAAAGCCUCUAAGCAUCAGGUAACACGAAAUCGUACCCCAAACCGACACAGGUGGUCAGGUAGAGAAUACCAAGGCGCUUGAGAGAACUCGGGUGAAGGAACUAGGCAAAAUGGUGCCGUAACUUCGGGAGAAGGCACGCUGACACGUAGGUGAAGUGAUUUACUCAUGGAGCUGAAGUCAGUCGAAGAUACCAGCUGGCUGCAACUGUUUAUUAAAAACACAGCACUGUGCAAACACGAAAGUGGACGUAUACGGUGUGACGCCUGCCCGGUGCCGGAAGGUUAAUUGAUGGGGUCAGCGUAAGCGAAGCUCCUGAUCGAAGCCCCGGUAAACGGCGGCCGUAACUAUAACGGUCCUAAGGUAGCGAAAUUCCUUGUCGGGUAAGUUCCGACCUGCACGAAUGGCGUAAUGAUGGCCAGGCUGUCUCCACCCGAGACUCAGUGAAAUUGAACUCGCUGUGAAGAUGCAGUGUACCCGCGGCAAGACGGAAAGACCCCGUGAACCUUUACUAUAGCUUGACACUGAACAUUGAGCCUUGAUGUGUAGGAUAGGUGGGAGGCUUUGAAGUGUGGACGCCAGUCUGCAUGGAGCCGACCUUGAAAUACCACCCUUUAAUGUUUGAUGUUCUAACGUGGACCCGUAAUCCGGGUUGCGGACAGUGUCUGGUGGGUAGUUUGACUGGGGCGGUCUCCUCCUAAAGAGUAACGGAGGAGCACGAAGGUUGGCUAAUCCUGGUCGGACAUCAGGAGGUUAGUGCAAUGGCAUAAGCCAGCUUGACUGCGAGCGUGACGGCGCGAGCAGGUGCGAAAGCAGGUCAUAGUGAUCCGGUGGUUCUGAAUGGAAGGGCCAUCGCUCAACGGAUAAAAGGUACUCCGGGGAUAACAGGCUGAUACCGCCCAAGAGUUCAUAUCGACGGCGGUGUUUGGCACCUCGAUGUCGGCUCAUCACAUCCUGGGGCUGAAGUAGGUCCCAAGGGUAUGGCUGUUCGCCAUUUAAAGUGGUACGCGAGCUGGGUUUAGAACGUCGUGAGACAGUUCGGUCCCUAUCUGCCGUGGGCGCUGGAGAACUGAGGGGGGCUGCUCCUAGUACGAGAGGACCGGAGUGGACGCAUCACUGGUGUUCGGGUUGUCAUGCCAAUGGCACUGCCCGGUAGCUAAAUGCGGAAGAGAUAAGUGCUGAAAGCAUCUAAGCACGAAACUUGCCCCGAGAUGAGUUCUCCCUGAGACUUAGAGUCUCCUGAAGGAACGU